rnacentral:rRNA from 1 species
UGCAGUCGAGCGAACAGAGAAGGAGCUUGCUCCUUUGACGUUAGCGGCGGACGGGUGAGUAACACGUGGGCAACCUACCUUAUAGUUUGGGAUAACUCCGGGAAACCGGGGCUAAUACCGAAUAAUCUGUUUCACCUCAUGGUGAAAUAUUGAAAGACGGUUUCGGCUGUCGCUAUAGGAUGGGCCCGCGGCGCAUUAGCUAGUUGGUGAGGUAACGGCUCACCAAGGCGACGAUGCGUAGCCGACCUGAGAGGGUGAUCGGCCACACUGGGACUGAGACACGGCCCAGACUCCUACGGGAGGCAGCAGUAGGGAAUCUUCCACAAUGGGCGAAAGCCUGAUGGAGCAACGCCGCGUGAGUGAAGAAGGAUUUCGGUUCGUAAAACUCUGUUGUAAGGGAAGAACAAGUACAGUAGUAACUGGCUGUACCUUGACGGUACCUUAUUAGAAAGCCACGGCUAACUACGUGCCAGCAGCCGCGGUAAUACGUAGGUGGCAAGCGUUGUCCGGAAUUAUUGGGCGUAAAGCGCGCGCAGGUGGUUUCUUAAGUCUGAUGUGAAAGCCCACGGCUCAACCGUGGAGGGUCAUUGGAAACUGGGAGACUUGAGUGCAGAAGAGGAUAGUGGAAUUCCAAGUGUAGCGGUGAAAUGCGUAGAGAUUUGGAGGAACACCAGUGGCGAAGGCGACUAUCUGGUCUGUAACUGACACUGAGGCGCGAAAGCGUGGGGAGCAAACAGGAUUAGAUACCCUGGUAGUCCACGCCGUAAACGAUGAGUGCUAAGUGUUAGGGGGUUUCCGCCCCUUAGUGCUGCAGCUAACGCAUUAAGCACUCCGCCUGGGGAGUACGGUCGCAAGACUGAAACUCAAAGGAAUUGACGGGGGCCCGCACAAGCGGUGGAACAUGUGGUUUAAUUCGAAGCACGCGAGAACCUUACCAGGUCUUGACUCCCGUUGAC